rfam:Aedes aegypti strain Liverpool supercont1.113 genomic scaffold, whole genome shotgun sequence.
AAUUCGGCCCUUUUCAGGGCCAACAUUAACGUUCAUAAAAGGGUUUU